CCUACGGGAGUCUGCAGUGGGGGAUAUUGCACAAUGGGGGGAACCCUGAUGCAGCGACGCCGCGUGGGUGAAGGAGUGCUUCGGCAUGUAAAGCCCUAUCGGCAGGGAAGAAGCAAGACGGUACCUGACUAAGAAGCCCCGGCUAACUACGUGCCAGCAGCCGCGGUAAUACGUAGGGGGCGAGCGUUAUCCGGAUUCACUGGGUGUAAAGGGAGCGUAGACGGCCAUGCAAGCCAGGGGGGAAAGCCCGGGGCCCAACCCCGGGACUGCCCUUGGAACUGUGCGGCUAGAGUGCGGGAGGGGCAGGCGGAAUUCCUGGGGUAGCGGUGAAAUGCGUAGAUAUCAGGAGGAACACCGGCGGCGAAGGCGGCCUGCUGGACCGCGACUGACGUUGAGGCUCGAAAGCGUGGGGAGCGAACAGGAUUAGAUACCCGUGUAGUC
rnacentral:rRNA from 1 species